CUUAUAAUAUUGGUUUUGUCAAAUUUUUAUAAACAAACAGUGUCGAAAACGUUUAUUUUGUGCAGCAUAUUGAAACACAUCAAUUACGGAAACAAAAUGAGAUGACAAAAAUAGCUUCUCUAGUUUUAGCUCUAUCAUUGAUAGUAAAUGAGUUCACGUUAUUGUACAAUGUUCAAAUCCUAAAAGACAAGUAUUUGGCAUCAAACUUGGUUUACCUUCUAAGUGUCUGCUUGCUGCUAAGAAAAGUGAACAUUUUCCCGAGAGUUUUCUGGAGGAAAUAUUCGCCGAUUUGCUUUUUAUUGGAAGUAAUCACAACAGUAGCCAUCCUAGAAUGUUCCCUGACCUACGUGUGGAAGUUCAUCCAAGACUACGUACUUCACAACGCCGAUGGUCUCCUGGUACUUCUAGCGGAGAAGCAGAGCCUGGACUGGCUGGUGUGUCACUUGUGCUGUGGUAGAUCCGACUGCCCUGCUGUCUUUGCUGCCCUGGUACUCAGAGCUGUAAGCUUUGUACUUUUGAUGGGAUCUUGUAUGGUUUCACAUGGGUAAAGUUUUGAUUUUUA